AAAAUGAUCAAGAACGACAAGGAACAAGACGUGACACAAGAACAAGCAAUGUGACAGUGGGGUCAAAAUAAGAUAUAGACACCAAAUGAAGAGUUAGUAAACUGGAAUGAAGACAACCUAAUGAAAUGAUAUCAAGCUCAAAUAUCAAAUUUCAUAAUCAAUGUAGCACAGAUACCAGCAGUUUACAUAAUUUACCAAAAAUAUGCUCCAAUUUUGGUUCACCACACAAACGACUAUAUUUUGAUAUGAAAUUUGGUACACACUAGAAACCCAAUACGGACUAACUGCUGGUAAAAUUUCAGGAGCUUCUGAGGGGGUUUACUAUGUAAACUAAAUUUGAUCAAGUCUGCCGCAAAAUCUUGAUUCAGUAAGAGAACAGUGUCAAAUGACCUCCAAAAUUGACAUGGGAACUACUAAAAUGGGGUAUAAAUAGCCUAUAAAUUUUCAGAGUUUUCUGGAUUGGUUUCUUAUGUGAACUAAAUUUGAUCAGGUCUGCCGCAAAAUUUUGGUUUGCUAGGCAAAUAAUAUCAAACAACUCCAAAAAUUGACACAGAAACUUGUGAAAUGAGGUAUAAAAAGCUUGUAAAUUUUCAGAAUUUUCUGGGCUGGUUUGGUAUGUGAACUAAAAAU
rnacentral:misc_RNA from 1 species